GUUAUCAUUUCAAUUUUCAUCGAUCGAUCGAUCAUAUCUAAUUUAUAAAUCAUUCAGAAGGAAAAGGAAAGGAAAUGGCAAACCAACCAGUUGCAGGACAGCCUCAGGUGAUAUAUCACUCUAUCUAUCCUUCAGAUUUAUUGAUUUAAGUAUUAAUUAAUUAUAUAGAGAUAGAUAGGUAAUGAUCGAUGAGUAAUUAAGAUUGUAUCUCUUGCGUGGGUGCGUGCGUAGUUGAAGAGGGACGACCAAGCACCCGGGCAAGCUAAUGAAUUCUUUCAACAGGUACGUCUAUAUAUAAUUUCUAAAUACUAGCUAGCUAGCCUUCCUUUUAAUUACUCCUGCACAAGGAUCAUACAGUUUCUUAGUCUGUCCUAAAGAAAAAUGGAAAAGAAAGAAAGAGGUACAUGAUUAAUUGAUUGUUAUUUUUUUUGAUAAAAUUAAUUGGAGCGAGCGUGCAUGCAGUCACAGCCACAGAUGAGCCAAGCAUCCAACCAGCCUCAAGGCCAAAACACAAACUUCCUGAAUCAGACGGGAGGAGAAGUGAACACGAUGGUACACGGAGUGGCAGACAUAGCUUCAGGAGCAGCACAAGGAGCAAUUCACUUGGCACAGGGGGUUGCAUCUGGUGCUGCUAACAUGGCAAAAGGUGCUGCCGAUGCUGUCAAUAAUACUUUUGGGACUAACCCCCCUCAUACCACCAACACUAAUCCACAUACACGUUGAAUAAUUAAAUUUAUUAAUUUACCCUACCCUACCCUACCCUACCCUACCUAUUGCAUGUGUCCUCUUUUAAUUUUCUCUAUUUUAAACUUCUGUUGUAUUUCUUUUUUAUUUCAAUAAACUGAAAAUGUAUUUCAUAUUAAUUCACAAUCGCAUGCAUCAAUGGGCCGUCUCACUAUUGCAUUACCAUAUAUUCACAUACAUUUAAACUGAC
rnacentral:lncRNA from 1 species